AGAAUUCUAUGAAGUGACCCUACUGAACUCUCAGAAAAGUUGCCAGCAAAAGAUAGAAGAAGCCAAUCAGGUUGCAGAAAAAUGGGAAAAGACACCAUCUCUAGGAACGGAUAAUGAAAAUCAGCCCAAAACAUCAGAGAUGGCGGUUUCAGGCGGGUCUGACCCAUCGGAGUCGCGUGAGCAUCAGGAGAAGGGGAAAUCGGUUCACGAUUACUGUUCCACCGAGAACGUUGCAAAACAAAGUCACACACGAUGUCCUGCCCACAAAUGUUCAGUCGAAUCGCCUGGAUGGCUGCCUAUUCAACAUUCU